CUUUGCGGUGGGCCAGGAGAGCAUCCAGAGCAUCCAGAGCAUCCAGAGCAUCCAGACGGGCCCCCCCCUCCCCCCCCCCCCCCCCGCGAAACCCUCCGCCGCUCCUUUCUUCCUCGGGGCGCAUGCGCAGCGCAGCGCACCCGCCGGCCACCGCGGCGGCCCUUACGUCACCGCAAGCUGUCGUGUGCCCUUCCGCUUCCCCGAGGAAAACGAGUCCGCGCACCCUCGACGCUCCUUGUCCCGCGGGAGACGCCUCUUCCCUCCUCCUGCCGCGGCACUGAAGGCUUCCCCCGCCGGCGUCCAGCAGCCUGGCGUUCUCCGGCCGGCGAGGCCUCGAAGACGGGGAAAGCGGAGGGCAAGAGGCCCCCCGCGGUGUUUACAGGAGCGAGCCGGCUACGAAUCGGUCCGCGGGGGCGGGGCCAAGGGAGCCGGCGCUUCUUUCCCCCCCUCCCCCCCCCGCCUUCCCCGCGAGCGGACGCGGCAGCGUCUCUGUCUCGCUUUUUCUUAUUUUCCCCCCUUUCCCCCUUUUUUUUCCUUUUCCCUCCCUUCCCCCCUUCUCACCAUUUCCCCUCAGAGACGCUUCUCCCGGGGGACCCGCGGCGGCCGCGACGGCCUCAGGUCGGGGGCAGUCAUGGAGCUGGUGCGCUGACCCGCCGGCCGCAGCCCUGCGUCCCGCUCGACCGCCCGCUCCCCGCUCCCCGGCCCGGGCCCGCGCCCGCUUCCCCCUCUUCUCCCUCCUCAGUCGGUCCCGCCCGCGUCCCGCGCGCCCGGCCGCCGCGCGCUGAGGAAAAUGAGGUGGUAACGGGCCCGCGGAUGACCCCGCGUCUCCACUGUGAGGCCUACAGCUCCGCCGGGGAGGAGGAGGAGGAGGAAGAGGAGGAAGAGGAGGAAGAGGAGGAGAAGGUGAGGGGGCGGGGGCGGGGGCGGGGGGCUCGCUGCGUCUCCGAGGCCCGUCCGCGCUGCGCCUCCUGAGGAAGCCUUCGGGACCUCCCGGCGCCGCGGCCGCUCGGGGCUCUGGGGCCGCCGCCCGGUUUUCCGACGGUCCGCCGUGGGCCCCCGCGGGCCAACUUGCGUGUAGCCCCACCAAGCUGCGCGCUCGUAGGCGCCGCGAGCCCGUGCGCUGCCCGGGGACGGGGACACACCCCCACCCUUCGCCUUCACGCUGCCGCGGGGGCCGCAGGAAGGUAGUUCGCGUUGCGAAGCGGAGUGAACGCCGAACGGUCCGUGGAACGGCCAGUGCCGGUGCUGCGGGGGGGCUGGGGGAGGGGAGCGUUACCCCAGGGGCGGGUGGGUGG
rnacentral:lncRNA from 1 species